rnacentral:snRNA from 1 species
GGAUGUGAGAAGGUGAUCUGGUGCGACAUCUGUCACCCCACCAUGUCUGGUUGGGCAGGUGUCCCCUUCUCCCUCACUGCUCCAUGCCUGUCCCUCUGUAAGCUUCAUGCUUGGUCCUAGAAGAUGAACAUCUUUGAUAAAGCAGGUCUAUUCUUUAGUCAAGGGCAUAAGAGAGACUGUGUUCCCCUGGUAAAUGUCCAAACAAGCUCUCAGGAAAAGGGUAGAAAGCUCAGAGUUUCAAAACAAUUUUUUUUUAAUUCUGCAAACACAACAAAUGAGCCACUGCCAAUGGCACAGUCACU